CCUACGGGUGGCAGCAGUAGGGAAUUUUUGUCAAUGGGCGCAAGCCUGAACGAGCAAUGCCGCGUGAACGAGGAAGGUCUUCGGAUCGAAAAGUUCUGUUGAAGGGGAGCAAGGGCGGGGACGUGUCCCGGCCCGGAGAGUACCCGGAGAAAAAGCAUCGGAUAAAUCCGUGCCAGCAGCCGCGGUAAUACGGAGGAUGCGAGCGUUAUCCGGAUUUAUUGGGUGUAAAGGGUGCGUAGGCGGGCUUUUAAGUAAGCGGUAAAAAUUCGGGGCUCAACCCCGUCCGGCCGUUGAAACUGGGGGCCUUGAGUGGGCGAGAAGAAGGCGGAAUGCGUGGUGUAGCGGUGAAAUGCAUAGAUAUCACGCAGAACCCCGAUUGCGAAGGCAGCCUUCCGGCGCCCUACUGACGCUGAGGCACGAAAGUGCGGGGAUCGAACAGGAUUAGAUACCCCGGUAGUC
rnacentral:rRNA from 1 species